GCGCGGCCGCGCGGCGGCGGCGCCCUGCGCUCAGGCACGGGGCGCGCGGGUGGCCGUUGCAGGGCGCGCUGGGCGGGAAGGCGGCCUGAGGGGAAGUGGUCACCGCCGCCGCCGCCUCCCAGGGGGCCCGCACGCCGUCCUCGGCGAGCUGCGUUGGGCUUUGCGUCUAGUACGGGGCGAUUUGAAAUACUUCGCUAGAAGCAUCGCCGCAGGCAGGUCUGGACAAAUCCUUCCAAAAGGCCUUGAACGGUUCCUCGGUCCGGAGAAGAGCACUGUUUGAGAUCUAACUGCACAAGAAGAGAGAGAAGAGAAAAAGAAACUCUCCAAAAAGCCUGGAAUGGCACUUGCUGAGCCCUUCAGAUGAAAAGGCAGCCAUCCUCAGUACUUGGAAACCAAUAAAAGAGACUGCAAAGGCAGUUUUGCUAAAUAAGUCUUUUCCUUUUGCAGCUUGGACAAAGUGGAGUAUGGCUGUUCUCAAGGACCAAACUGCUAUAUCCAGCUGGAGUUUCAUCUAGGCCAUCCUGCCAAUGGAGCUAACAGUAUGGACCUUCUUCAGAGAAGCAUAAUGCAGUUUAGGGGGGCAGUGCUGGUGGAGAACAACGCAUCACUUUCAGAUGGAGAAGGGAAAGUGACCUGCUCAAAGUAACAAAGUGGAUCACCUGCAGAAAUAUGUACCUUCCUUCCUCAUUCAACUACAGAAGAAAAAUGAGGCUUGCCCAGCUUCUAGCAAGCUGAAACAUGUUCUUUCCAAAGCUUUCAUCCACCAUUUCAAGUUCCUCUGUCAUGCUCUGACAGGCUUUGGGCCUUGACAGCACAAAUCCAGUCUUGAAACCACAUCUCUCCCUUGCCAUCUCCUCACUUCAAGUAUGAGCCUAUUUCAGCAUGGGGAAAGUGAAAAAUUAAGGGAGAUGCCACUAUCCUAUUACAUAAUAGAGGCAGCUGCAAGUGAAUGAGGAUUCUGCUAGGUAAUGCCACAGCCUGAAGAAACACCAUUAUGGUCAUUGUGUCAAUCUCCAUGGCACCACACCCACCCAUGUCAGAUGAGAAAUGGGUCAAAUUUUUCAGUGUCUUUUUAAAUUCCACUGUGGUUUACUGUAUCUCCUGUGAGUAUAGCAUCGUCUUCAUCUGACACCUUGUUUCUUAGGGGACUACAUCCUACCCUGAUUCCUAGGGGAAUGUUGCUGAUGAUCCAAUCUGACUACUGCCUCUGUCUCUACUCAGAAUACAUUAAAAUAACAUGAAAAUAUUACCAACAGUCUGCAAGCAAGGUAAUAACAACUCAUUAAAGUAAUUUCUAACCUUCCACACGAACAUUUUCUUUAUCAUUACAUGAUUUUCUAACACAUGACACAUUAACAUAAAAUGAAAUGGUAUGAGGAUAGGGGUAGUAGGCAUGACAAAGUAUUUUAAAUGGUGAUGAUUUGCUUUGAGGCAUUAAGUCAAUUUGUAAUUGUCCCAUAGCUAUUACAGCAAAAAUUGGAACUUUGUAAUUGGUUUUGAAAAUGUAUUUUUAACACAGUGGGUUUGGUUUUUAAAAUUUAUGUAACCUAUUCAACGUUUUAUGUCUCACAAACCUUGUCCAGAAUGCCACUGGAUUUAUGGAAGUUUUAGGCCUUUUAAAACCCAGUUUUGCAAAAUAUUCAUUCUCUUGCUGUGCACUGAAGCUCCCUCAACACCGACAGUGUCCCUGACAGGAAAAAGGACUGGGUCCUGCUGCAGUCUAAUUGGAAACUUCUGAAGGCUUUUAAUUGCAUGCACUGAUUCUUUUCAAUGGAUCUCAUGCUUCUAUGUUAUGUAAAAAGUGAGAGCAAGUAUAGUAAUGUUUUACCUUAUAUUACCUCACCUGCAGUACUGGGUCCAGCUCAGGUGACUCAACAUGAGAAAGUCAUGGACCUAAUGAGGAGGAGGGCCAUGAAAAUGAUCAGGGGGUUGGAGCACCUCUCCUAGGAGAACAGGCUAAGGGAGCUGAGGUUGUUCAGGCUGGAAAACAGACUCCUACAGCAAGACCUAAUAGCGGCCUUCGAGCACCUGAAGGUGGUCUACAAGAAGGCUGGAGCGGGACUGUUUACAAAGGCCUUUAGUGAUGAGAGGCAAUGGUUCUACAUUAAGAGUUAGGUUGGACAUUAGGAGGAAGCUCUUUUUACCAAGAGGGUAGUGGAACACUGUACCAGACUGCCCAGGGAGGCGGUUGAAGCCCCAUCCCUGGAGAUACUCAAGGCUAGGAUCAGUGGGGCUCUUCACAAUCUGAUCUAACGGUGUCAGUCCCUGCUCACUGCAGGGGGGUUGACUAGAUGACCUUUGGAAGUCCCUUCCAGUGCAAACCCUUCUAUGAUUCUAUAAUUGAUUUGUCUGUGCCUUUUUCUGGACUGCCUUUAGAUUGCAUAGUUGAAAAUGUGAAUUGCCAUAUUUAGGUUCCUGUACUUCAAUAAAAAGCACAUACGUAAUACAGCUAAGAUAAACAACUGGAAGCAAAAUGAAGGGCAGCAAUUACAACAGAGCAAUUAGACCAGACUGGAUCACAAUUAAAUUAUACUUGGAUGACACCUGCUAUCAGUUUUAAGGAUAAUGACAGCACAGAAGUGUGUGUUAUUCCCAAAGAAAUAACUUAAAUGGAAAUUGUUAGAAAGUGAAGCAGGGAAUUAAAAAGAAGCAAUAUUCCAUGUUUUCCCUGAGUGAUAGCUAUUCUUAUGCUUUCCUUCAAGCAGCUGCAAUUCAAACUCUGGCAAAUUUCUUACUUGUACCACUACUAAUGUGGAAAUCACUGGCAACUGGCUGCACUGUAGGUCAGAGCAAUGACGUGCCUCUAGCUGAAACUGAGAAAAAACAGCUAAGAAUAUACAAUCCAGCAAUCUUCUAGUCUGUAGAAGGUCAGUUACAGAUCUAACGUGGCCAUCUAAUUGCCUAGGUGUAGAUGUGAUGGUUACCUGAGAGUUGCAAAUGCCAUCAGAACACACAGGCAGUAAGCCAUGAACAUGUUGACAAGUUAUCCCCUAGCAAGCAAAGACUGAUGCCUGCCCUACCUGCAGCUCAGCUAUUAUACUCAUCUAUGCUGUCUAUAAAACAGAGUAUUAAAGAUGGGCAAAGUGGUCUAUCAGUCAAAAAGCUGAUGACAUUAAGAAGAUGUUUUCACUUCAAAGCUUUGUAUCUCAUCAGCCAUGAUCUCAGUAACAAGAUUGCUGAGAGGCAAUUAGCCACCCAUGUUGUAUAAGUGAAGACAGAGUGCUGAUUUCUGCUCUAACGGGUACAUUUACUUCAAAGAGAACACAGAACAAUUCAGAGUAGCACCCCCUUGUCUCUCUGCUCAGGAAGACAAAUUUUGUAGUGAAAUCCAGCUACGACAAGUCACAUAAGCAUAUAUAUUUAACUGAAAUAACCAAAAAAAUGUACUCCUCACUCCUAGCUGGCAAAAAAGGUCUGCCUCUCAGAGCUCUGGUGUUACCAGAAGGCAGUACUGCACAGCAGUGAUAUUUUAUCCACUCUAUUUCUCUAUCCAAUGUGAUUAGAAAAUGGUAGUGACUUCCUAAGGUAUCUUAAACAAGUAUGAAAAACCUUACACGAACCAAAGACCACUGUAAGUGGACUAGGUACCUCCUGGUACUGCAUUCCUGCUGUUCAGUGAAGAACUGCUCCUAGCUCCUUGGCUUCUUGUUUCAACAAAUCUAGCAUCUUUUAGGGGUGGUGGAUACUGAGGGGAGGGCAGCUCUUACAACAGAGAUGAACAUGCAACAAGUAGGAGGAAUCUUUAAUUUCUCUGUGAUGUUUCUGGUGAAAACAGUGUCUUCCACAAUCUUAAAGUGUCCUAUAAAUCCAUUAAGGAACUUUUUGAUCUAGUCACAAGCUCACUCAUAACUGUAUUCUGACAAACCAUUCACAUCACCUGUCUCUGCUGAAGGCAUCGGCAGAUACCUUUUGUCUUCCUGGCGUGUUUAGCACUCCUGACGUAGCCAUACAGCAGUUACCUGUAAGAACUCACUUCACUUGGCACAUGGCCGCUUCUCCAUCUGCACAGUUCUUUCACAUGAAGCAUGUAGGAAACUUCUAGACAAAAUAAAUGAAUACAGCCCACCUUU